rnacentral:rRNA from 1 species
GACGAACGCUGGCGGCGUGCUUAACACAUGCAAGUCGAACGGAAAGGCCCUGCUUUUGUGGGGUGCUCGAGUGGCGAACGGGUGAGUAACACGUGAGUAACCUGCCCUUGACUUUGGGAUAACUUCAGGAAACUGGGGCUAAUACCGGAUAGGAGCUCCUGCUGCAUGGUGGGGGUUGGAAAGUUUCGGCGGUUGGGGAUGGACUCGCGGCUUAUCAGCUUGUUGGUGGGGUAGUGGCUUACCAAGGCUUUGACGGGUAGCCGGCCUGGGAGGGUGACCGGCAACAUUGGGCCUGGGAUCCGGCCAAGACCCCUACGGGAGGAAGAAGUGGGGAUUAUGCAACAAUGGGCGGAAGCCUGAUGAAGAAAGGCGGCGUGGGGGAUGCCGCCCUCCGGGUGGUAACCGGCUUCCGCCUGUGACGAAGCGGGAGUAACGGUAAUGGGUAAAGAAGCACCGGCUAACUACGU